rnacentral:piRNA from 1 species
UCCUCAAGGGGAAAGCGUCUC